UACAGAGGUCCCAAGCGUUGUUCGGAUUCACUGGGCGUAAAGGGUGCGUAGGUGGCGAGGUAAGUCGGAUGUGAAAUCUCCGAGCUCAACUCGGAAAUGGCAUUGGAAACUACCUUGCUCGAGGGUUGGAGGGGGGACUGGAAUGCUUGGUGUAGCAGUGAAAUGCGUAGAUAUCAAGCGGAACACCAGUGGCGAAGGCGGCUCACUGGUCCAUUACUGACGCUGAGGUGCGAAAGCGUGGGGAGCAAACAGG
rnacentral:rRNA from 1 species